rnacentral:tRNA from 1 species
GCCCAGAUAGCUUAAACAAAAGCACAUUAUUGAAGAUAAUGUUAUGGGAUACCUCUGAGCA